UUGCAAGACCGAUUGACCACAACAGGUCACACCCCUGCCUGUGCUCUCCCGCCGCUAUCUGGAAUCGUGCAGGGGCGUCCAACCACGGACGACCUCGUUUAUGACGUCGGGCGAGGAAGGGUUUUAUCCGUGCGGCGCGGGGGGGGGGUUAGGGAAAGAGGAGCGAGGGAUGGCUCACAGGCAACAUUGGAGGGAUUAUAGAUUCAAACGUGUGCCCGCGAUACUUUUGAUUGACCGAACAGAAAUGUUCUUUUUCUAAACUCAUUUUUAGUUUUAGAAUGUUUUCGAGUUUAAAACAAACCUAAGGCAUACAACUCUUGUGCUCAGUUCUGGUCGCCUUACCUGAAAAAGGACAUAAUUGAGUUGGGAAAAAAAGUGCAGAGAAGGGCAGCAAAAAUUAUGGGGCUUGAGCAGGCCCUCUAUGAGGAGGAGCUGCAACAACUGGGACUGUUCAGCUAGGAAAAAAAGGCGAGUAAGGGGUGACCUGGUAGAGGUGUUUAAAAUAAUGCAUAGUGUGGAGAGGGUGACUCACCUCCAUUACACCCAAACUAGGGAUCAUCCCUUGAAGCUGAGUACUUCUUCAGACAGCCUAUAGUUAAAUUGUGGAAUUAGCUGCCACAGGAAGUGGAUAUGACUGCCAAUCAGGAUGGCUUUAAAAGGGGACUGGACAGAUUCAUGGAGGAAGAGGCUCUCAGUGGCUUUCUGCUGUAUCCCUCAUCAGAGGCAGCAAACCUUCAUGCACCAAUUGCUGAGGAGCUUGGGCAGGCAGAGGUUUUGCACCCAUCCUGUGUGAGGGAUCCUGGGCAGCUGGCUUGCCAUGGUGUGUUUGCCCUGGAGUGCUGGACUAGAUGGACCUUUGGUCUAAUCCUGCAUGGCUUAUGUUCUAAGGCACUGCAAAGCUUCCAAAUGGACCACUGAGUUGAGCAAAGUAAUGGUAAGGCAUUUGCAGAACUGGCAGCCUUGUGCAUAAAAUGGCAAGCUUCUAGCUUUGGCCUAUCCAUGUUCAUUUAGAAAUAAGUCCCACAGGGUUCAAUAGGACUUACACUCAAGUCCAGUGAAGUCUGCAUAGGACUGCAGCCAAAAUUUCAGCCUAUGGUUUUAGAAUGGGAGUAGGCAGCUUUGUGGUGUCUGUAAGCCUGUUUGGCAAGUGAAGAAUGGGCUUACAGACCAGUUGUCUGAUAAAGUGUAUUUUAGUUUCCCAGGCCUUUAGUCUUUGUUUUUAAGGGUUGGUGGCUAGCUGGGGCAUGCUGAGUUGUGCGCCGUUUAUCUUGCCUAAACUUGCCCGGAAUUGUGUCUUAAAUACCUUUUUAGAACUGUACACUGCUGCUGACUCUUGUUUUGAUGUAUACUUUGGCUCGAUAUUGUUUUAAACUUCUAAUGGGAUUGCAUUUUAUGCUGCAUUAUUGGGGUUUUACUUUUGUGAACCCUCCAGGAGCUUGGGCUAUUAGACAGUAUAUGAAAUAUAGUAAGUAAAUGUGAUUUUGGUGUAAGUUGGACAGGAGAAAGUUAAUGGUCCAAGCUGCUGGCCAGGUAUGACUGUGCAUGCCUUCUGCUAUGUCAACUGCAGACUCUGAGUUGCCAUGGGGUAUUUUAACAAAUUACUUCUUGAUGCAGGAUCAUUUGGUAAAUGUUCCGAAUAAGAAAAGUCAGCCAAAGAAGGAAGUGGAACUUCCCUGUGCCCAGCUAUGGAUGAGCUAAUCUAGAAGUGCUUCAUGCCUCUACCAGUGGAAAAAGUGUUGAUUAGAGGAUUUUGCCUUUGUGAGCCAAAGGUGGGCAGAAUUAUAGAUCAAAGGUUACUGAUAAAUCUCCACAAGAUGUGUAGUAGAGCACAAAGGUUUAUUUUUUUGUUGUCUAUUUCUUUAUCAUAUUCCAAUUUUUCUUCUGCAAGGAAACUUAGGGAGCUUAUAUAAUCCUCCUCACCCUGUUGUCCUCACAGUAACCUUUGGCUAAGUCUGUAAAAUGGCACAAAGUCACCUAGUGAGCUUCAUGUUGGAUGAGGAUUAGAACCUGCAUCCAGUCCAGCACUUUAAUUUUUAUACCACACAGGCUCUCAGCAAAAUGGUUCCUCCUCCUCAGAAUGUAUGCCAUUCAAAUGAAGAAAGCUGGGGCAGGGUGAGCGAGCAACCAGGAGUAGAUUUUUGUGUUGGAAGAGUUCAACUCAGUUCUGGUAUUGAAAUCAUUUUUUAAAAAUCUAAGUUUUUUGUAGUGAGCUCUGAUUGGAUUCUCUCAGGAUUCUGGCAUCUGCAGGAAAGGGGCAUCUGCAGACAAAGGACAAAUACAGUUUUAAAAGAAAAAGAUGCAACAAGGUAACUCAUCCCAUAGGUAUGCAGAGCACAGAAAUCUAGGUGGGUGUUAAGCCAGAACAGGGUACACUGUGUUAUGAGUAGCAACAAAGGAUUGCACAUAAUGGCCCUGCCCAGUGUGUGCCACUCCUUUCCUCUCAGUUCCAGCCUUGCUGUGUUGAAGAGCUGUUUUCCUCUUGUUUAAUGGAACUCAAGUAGAAUUCUCUGCAUGUGUCCCCAGGUCUUUGCAGAGCAUGAGUGAGCAGAACUGCUCAGGCCUUCCCUUUCACCACAUCAAGGUUGGAACUGAAGGCCCUACAUGGUGGAGUUUGUGGGGUCGUAGCCUCAUGCCUAUACCCAUGCAUUACUGGGCGCUGUUUAUUCAUAUGUAAUAUCUGAACAGGACUGGUGCUUAUUGAUUGGCUACACUAAAAAAAAGACGCAAUGUGUUGUAGUAACAUGUGUGUUUUUCCCCAGCUCUUCAGCCUAAAAGACCCCAGAGCAGCUAGUUCAAAGAGGAGGAGCAAAAUGGAAACAAUUUCUCAACAGAGGGAUGAGCCCUUAAGCUAAAAGCAUCUUGGUUGGGGAGAAUCUCAAUUGUAAAAAUGAAUGAAUGUGUUACCUAAACUGAACUUUAUUUUCCAAAUGUUACCAACUGUGAUCCCGAAAAAAGUUUUUCAAGACAGUUAAAUAGUUUUAUUUGGAAUGGCAAGAAACCAAGAAUCAGAUUCAAAAUAUUACAGGACACAAAGGAGAAAGGAGGUCUUGCUGUACCUAAUUUGAAGUUAUAUUAUUAUGCAGCAAGCCUGGUCUACAUUGCAGAUUGGAUUUUAAAUGUUAAUGAUAAACGAGUAAAGUUGGAACUGGCUGAUCUUGAAGAUGUAAUACACAAUAUUUUAUGGGCUAAAACAUCAGUUAAGAAGGCUCUGAUCAUAAAUAACCAUGUGCUAAGAGAUGGUUUAAUAAAAAUGUGGUAUUCCAUGAGGGAAAAAAAUAGUCCUCCAAUUUCCCCCCUGAUGUCCCUGGUUGAAGCAUAUGGAAAACACUCAAGAAGAUGUUAUUGACCAAUCAAGACAAAUUAAAUCUUGGCAACAACUGAAAGAUGAUGGAAAAAUAUACAAUGGCUUGUUUAUCAUCAAUUGAUUUCAAGACUGAAGGGGAAAGCUCAACCAGAAGAAGGCAUUUUAAGAGAUCUGACAGAUUUUGAAAUGUUGAUUACACAGCGGAAUGAUCACUUACUGGGAAGACUUUACAAACUGUUAUUACACUAUGAUACUGAAAGCCACUAAGAUAAGAAACAUGACAAUCUGGAAACAAUCUUGGUGAAGAAAUACCAUCUGGCCAGUGGGAAGCUCUUUGGAAGAAAGACAUUAAGUUCACUGCUAGUCAAGCAUUAAGAGAACAUUGAGCGUGGGAAGAUAUGAAGAGAGUUGGUUCUGGGAGCUGCAGUAUAUGGGCUGUGUUUGUACUUCUCUUGGAAAUUUGGUUUUUAACUUUA